rnacentral:misc_RNA from 1 species
AAUCCCUCAGAAAGAUGGUAUAGGUAUAUAUUAAUGACUUGACCAUGACUUUCAUUAAUUUCCUAAUAUCUCCACCAUGUCUCUCAACAUGAGAACAUUGUGGGCUGCAUAUAGAAUUCAAGAUUUGAAUGCAUACCUGAAUUGCUAUUGUCUAGUCCUCAAAUAGCAUAAUUUUAGAAGAGUAAAUUCUGAAAACAAUUCUUCAAAGCAGGAUCAGAAAAGGGAUAAUUAAUGUUCUUUAAUAUAUCAUUGAAAAAUAAGAUAUGACAGAGAGUCAUAAUG